rnacentral:rRNA from 1 species
UACGUAGGUGGCAGGCGUUGUCCGGAUUUACUGGGUGUAAAGGGCGUGUAGCCGGGUUGAUAAGUCAGAUGUGAAAUCCUGCGGCUUAACCGCAGAACUGCAUUUGAAACUGUUGAUCUUGAGUACUGGAGAGGCAGACGGAAUUCCUAGUGUAGCGGUGAAAUGCGUAGAUAUUAGGAGGAACACCAGUGGCGAAGGCGGUCUGCUGGACAGCAACUGACGGUGAGGCGCGAAAGCGUGGGGAGCAAACAGG